GUGAGCAGAGACUGGGAUAUGCAGACUGACCCUGACGAGGUGAUAUCCAGAAAUGACUAUGAUGUUAUCUAUGAGUUGCUGGAUAUAAUAGACAUGGUACCAUAUGGCUAACCUGUUCAUAAACAUCGCUGACUUUUCUUCAGAGUCAUUCUAUCUGCUUCUGGAUCUGUACUUGCAAGAUUUUACCCUACAAAAGAAAGAAUAAUCACAACCAUGAACUUUCCUCAAUGCCUGGAGCCUGCUGACCCGGAAACCUCCGACCACUCCUCAGCCUUCUUGACAAGGAACAUCCGCCUCUAAAGCCCACACCCACUUAACAUCUUUGAGGCCUCCUAGAGCCUCCCACACUUUGAAGAGGAGCCCAGGACAGCCUUCAACACCACCCCUUGCAUCUGUCUUCUGGACUUUAAAAUCACAGCCCAAGCCAGAUACUUUCCUCUGUGCCCCUUGAUUUUUGGUUCUACUUUGUAUGUUGUCUUCUGCCAUUAGAAUGUAAGCUCUUUGAGGGCAUCGUUGCCUUUCUUUUCACUUCUAUUUUUAAUCUCCAGUGUUUGCCAAAAUUUCUUGAAUAUAGUAAGUGAUAAGUCCUUCCUUCUUUCUUUCCUUCUUUUCUCCCUCCCUUCCUCCUUCCUUCCUUCCUUCCUUCCUUCCUUCCUUCCUUCCUUCCUUCUGUGUUUAAAUUUUCAUUCUAUUAUUUGCUACUCAUAUGUCCUUAAACAACUUGCAUCACAUGUCACUCACCUAGUGAGAAAGAUGUUGGACCCAAAAUGAAGAAUAAGACACACAUUUUCACAUGUGGCCGAUGCUGGAAUCUGUUUUGCUUGAAUAUG